CGCGUGAACUCGUCCCGUGUGUGUGUUAAGAAGAGUUUUAUGUGUGUGCACAGGCGGCUGUGUGCUCUUCUAAGUGGAGUGCGGCCGUUCAUCAGCGGGGCUGACUGCAGAGAGGGGGAUACUCUGAUCUCACUGCGCAGCUUUUUAAUUCACACACCGGCUGCUUUUUGGACUUUUUGCACCAAAGCGGGACUCUGCUCUCUUUCUGCCCUCCAGGCACCAUUCCCAUCACUGGAAUUACUGGCUUUUACCCGCUGCAGCCUGAAAAACAACUAAAUCUAUUGAUUAUUUUGAAAUUCAACAUUAUUAUUCAUCGGCUAUUCCAGGGACAAAUUUCAGGAUUCACUUCAACUUCCAUUCUUAUUGAAUGUAUGCAUGAGAGCAAUGGCAUCAUUCAUCUGAGAGCUCGUAGGUAUUUAGCAAUCGACUCUGAUGGUCUAUAAUCAGGUUUGUCUCAUACGGACUUUUUUUUUAUAAGGCAAUGGAAAGAUUAUUAGAUCAAACACGAAUAAGCAGCGCGGUAACUGUGAAAACCAUCAGUGCCGUCCGAGGCAUGUUUGGCUCAUGUGGACACUGAUCCUGUCCUGGGAUCUUCUGAGCUGUUCCCCUGGAAACCGCUGGACAGGUCCGUGCGUGACGUCGUUGCCUCGUCUCGGAGGUGAGAGGGAUCUCGGUCAUCCUUCACAAGUUGAGCUUGCCGAGCUCAUUCUGAACCGUCACCAAACAGGACCCGGGCCCAAACCAAGGGAGGUGGACUGGAGCGAAGACACUGACAGAGAACAGGACGUUUUCCCUCUAAAUCAGAACCAAACUAACAAAAACCAACAUUUCACAUUAAAGCUGACAUCAAUUUAGGCUGAAUACCACAAUCAAGUCACAUACUCCAAUUUCUAAGUUGACUUUGAAGAAAGG
ensembl:lncRNA